GCACCUGGUGGCGAGUGGCGAACGGGUGAGUAAUACAUCGGAACAUGUCCUGUAGUGGGGGAUAGCCCGGCGAAAGCCGGAUUAAUACCGCAUACGAUCUACGGAUGAAAGCGGGGGACCUUCGGGCCUCGCGCUAUAGGGUUGGCCGAUGGCUGAUUAGCUAGUUGGUGGGGUAAAGGCCUACCAAGGCGACGAUCAGUAGCUGGUCUGAGAGGACGACCAGCCACACUGGGACUGAGACACGGCCCAGACUCCUACGGGAGGCAGCAGUGGGGAAUUUUGGACAAUGGGCGAAAGCCUGAUCCAGCAAUGCCGCGUGUGUGAAGAAGGCCUUCGGGUUGUAAAGCACUUUUGUCCGGAAAGAAAUCCUUGGUUCUAAUAUAGCCGGGGGAUGACGGUACCGGAAGAAUAAGCACCGGCUAACUACGUGCCAGCAGCCGCGGUAAUACGUAGGGUGCGAGCGUUAAUCGGAAUUACUGGGCGUAAAGCGUGCGCAGGCGGUUUGCUAAGACCGAUGUGAAAUCCCCGGGCUCAACCUGGGAACUGCAUUGGUGACUGGCAGGCUAGAGUAUGGCAGAGGGGGGUAGAAUUCCACGUGUAGCAGUGAAAUGCGUAGAGAUGUGGAGGAAUACCGAUGGCGAAGGCAGCCCCCUGGGCCAAUACUGAC
rnacentral:rRNA from 1 species